rnacentral:rRNA from 1 species
AACUUCGUGCCAGCAGCCGCGGUAAUACGAAGGGGGCGAGCGUUAUCCGGAAUGAUUGGGCGUAAAGAGUUCGUAGGCGGUAUUUGUUGUUACAUGUAAAAUUCUAGAUUUACUAUUUAGGUAUGCGUGUAAUACUCUUUUACUUGAGUAUAGCAGAGGGUAACAGAAUUUCAUACAUAGGGGUAAAAUCCAAUUAUUUAUGAAGGAAUGCCAGUGGCGAAAGCGGUUAUCUGGGCUUUUUACUGACGCUGAGGAACGAAAGCAUAGGGAGCAAACAGGAUUAGAUACCCUGGUAGUCUAUGCUGUCAAAGAUGAGUGCUAAUAUUGGGAAUAAUUCUGAUAUAAAGUUAACACGUUAAGCACUCCGCCUGGGAAGUACGGUCGCAAGACUGGAACCCAAAGGAAUUGACGGGGGUCUACACAAGUGGUGGAGCAUGUGGUUUAAUGCGAUAAUACGCGCAAAACCUUACCAAUUCUUGAAUAUAAAAUAAUUAACAAUUUACCUUGUUAUUUUUUAAAUAUGUAUUUAAAAUACAUAUAAAUAAUCUUAUACAGGUGUUGCAUGGCUGUCGUCAGCUCGUGCCGUGAGGUGUUUGGUUCAGUCCUUUAACGAGCGCAACUCUUCUCUUAUAUUGGUAAAUUUUUUAGAAAAUAUUAAAAAACCACUUUUAAGAUACAGCUAGUGAUAAACUAGAGGAAGGUGAGAAUAACGUCAAGCCCUUAUGGCCCUUAUGAAUUGGGCUACACACGUGCUACAAUGGUGACUACAAAAAGUUAUACAAAAAAGAAAUUUUAAGUUAAUCUAUAAAAGUUACCGUGUUCGGAUUGUAAGCUGCAACUCGCUUACAUGAAGGUGGAAUCACAAGUAAUCGUAGAUCAGCAUGCUACGGUGAAUUUGUACUUAGACCUUGUACACACCGCCCGUCAC